GCCUGACACUCACUGACUUGAACAAAUCUUAUAUCAAUUAAUGUUAUUAAUGCCAUAAUUUACCGGAACCAUUAAAUUUUACACAAUUAAUUUGGUUUACCAGAAGAAUUUGGCGAGACCCGAAACUACAGAAAAUUACAUAUGAUACAUCUACUGUUACUACUGCGGAGAAUGUAAGAUUUUACAAAUUAACAUACCAAAUCCAAUACGCCACCCGAUGAUGAAGGAGUCGGGUUACUAGAUAAGAGUCGCAGGAAGACUAACAAUCACGGAUCUGGAAAACAGUAAAUUGAGACUGUCAGUCUCGAGAGUGAGUUAAAAUCAUAUAUCUAAAAACAUUUGCAUAUACUUCGAUCAUACAUUUAUUUAUUGAAAUAAACAUAAGUCAUAUAAAAACAUACAUGUCAUGCCAUGCUUAAAUUAAAUAAAAUAAUUUUCACAUACAACGGGACUGAGUACUUUAGUAGAACCCUAAUCCCAACACUAAUAUCUCGAUCAAUCUCAAUACUGACAUCUCGACUAAUCUCAACUCUAACAUCCCGACUAAUCUCAACUCUAACAUCCCGACUAAUCUCAUUCCAAUAGGACUGGCCCAGAGAGCGAAGCUCGAUCAGGAACCUUAUCUCCAGUCUGGUCACUUAUCUUAGCCUUUUGGCUCUCUUAAUCCAACAGGUCUGGCAUCCAAAGAGCAAGCUUGAUCAGGGACCUUAUCUCCAGCCUGAACACUUGAUUUCCAACUAAGCCGACACCCAGAGAGCAAGCUCGAUCAGAGCAAGUCCUAAACCUUCCUUUUUAAAUUUACCUAUCUACCAUUUUCCAUUACUCUCGGAUUUAUACCGGAACACUCAUCAAACUUUUAUGUUCUACUGUCGUCUCAUCCCGUGUCAUGAUGCAAUAAUAAAAUCAAUGAAAAUCAUAAUGCAGAAAAUGAAAUAUGCAUAAACAGUAUAUAACAAAUUAGUCAAAAUAUUAAUCAUUAAAUCAGAGAUAUCAUAUAAAAUAUUUACAUGACACACGUAAGCAGAUAUAUGACUUUAACUCACAGCUUUAGCGACCUCCUAGCUCUGCUCUGGUGCCUCGGUUGGAGCGAGCCGAAGAGAUGGAUUAUCUAAUCACGGAAAACAAUUUAUCAAUAAUGCUGAAUAAUUUACAAUUCACCCUAGAUCUAGAUUCUUAGGACUAACUGUCUAAAAUCUCGACUCGGAUAAAUUCUACCGAAAAUUUGACAGAACCUUCCCUACAACACGGACGUUUACCCCCAUAAAACGGGUCCAGGACCUGCCAGAAAAACACUUCAAAUAUUCAACAAUUAAUACAACGGGAGUCGAGUCCCCAAGACUUCACUGAUUUUCCCGACUACGCCACACAACACAAAAACACAACCCAAGGCAGGCAGUCCGACAACAAAUAUUUUAACACACAAUAUUUUUCUAAUAUUUAAUACAAU
rnacentral:lncRNA from 1 species